GACGAACGCUGGCGGCGUGCCUAAUACAUGCAAGUCGAACGCGAGCACUUGUGCUCGAGUGGCGAACGGGUGAGUAAUACAUAAGUAACCUGCCCUAGACAGGGGGAUAACUAUUGGAAACGAUAGCUAAGACCGCAUAGGUACGGACACUGCAUGGUGACCGUAUUAAAAGUGCCUCAAAGCACUGGUAGAGGAUGGACUUAUGGCGCAUUAGCUGGUUGGCGGGGUAACGGCCCACCAAGGCGACGAUGCGGAGCCGACCUGAGAGGGUGCCCGGCCACACUGGGACUGAGACACGGCCCAGACUCCUACGGGAGGCAGCAGUAGGGAAUUUUCGGCAAUGGGGGAAACCCUGACCGAGCAACGCCGCGUGAAGGAAGAAGGUCUUCGGAUUGUAAACUUCUGUUAUAAAGGAAGAACGGCGGCUACAGGAAAUGGUAGCCGAGUGACGGUACUUUAUUAGAAAGCCACGGCUAACUACGUGCCAGCAGCCGCAGUAA
rnacentral:rRNA from 1 species